rnacentral:sRNA from 3 species
AGAGUCAAUGGUAAGCGGACUGAAAGAGAUCAGCGUUUUUUUGCUGAUCUCUUGAAAGGAGCAUUAAGGAAUUGACUCGUGCAUCUGAU